rnacentral:piRNA from 1 species
UCUUAGAGAGUCAUGAAGGACAGUUGAU